AGAACGAACGCUGGCGGCAUGCCUAAUACAUGCAAGUCGAACGAACACUUCGGUGUUAGUGGCGCACGGGUGCGUAACGCGUGGGAAUCUGCCCUUGGGUUCGGAAUAACAGUUGGAAAUGACUGCUAAUACCGGAUGAUAUCGAAAGAUCAAAGAUUUAUCGCCCAGGGAUGAGCCCGCGUAGGAUUAGCUAGUUGGUGAGGUAAAGGCUCACCAAGGCGACGAUCCUUAGCUGGUCUGAGAGGAUGAUCAGCCACACUGGGACUGAGACACGGCCCAGACUCCUACGGGAGCAGCAGUAGGGAAUAUUGGACAAU
rnacentral:rRNA from 1 species